rnacentral:rRNA from 1 species
AAUAGAUACCCUGGUAGUCCAUGCCGUAAACGAUGUCUACUAGCCGUUGGGGCCUUUGAGGCUUUAGUGGCGCAGCUAACGCGAUAAGUAGACCGCCUGGGGAGUACGGUCGCAAGACUAAAACUCAAAUGAAUUGACGGGGGCCCGCACAAGCGGUGGAGCAUGUGGUUUAAUUCGAUGCAACGCGAAGAACCUUACCUGGUCUUGACAUAGUAAGAACUUUCCAGAGAUGGAUUGGUGCCUUCGGGAACUUACAUACAGGUGCUGCAUGGCUGUCGUCAGCUCGUGUCGUGAGAUGUUGGGUUAAGUCCCGCAACGAGCGCAACCCUUUUCCUUAUUUGCCAGCGGGUUAAGCCGGGAACUUUAAGGAUACUGCCAGUGACAAACUGGAGGAAGGCGGGGACGACGUCAAGUCAUCAUGGCCCUUACGACCAGGGCUACACACGUGCUACAAUGGUCGGUACAAAGGGUUGCUACCACGCGAGUGGAUGCUAAUCUCAAAAAGCCGAUCGUAGUCCGGAUUGGAGUCUGCAACUCGACU